GCGAAGUAGCAAUACUUAGUGGCAGACGGGUGAGUAACAUGUAGGUAUCUUCCCUUUGGUGAGGAAUAACACGAGGAAACUUGUGCUAAUACCUCAUAAGUCUUUACGGAGAAAGCUUUAUGCGCCAUUGGAUGAGCCUGCACUUGAUUAGUUUGUUGGUGGGGUAAUGGCCUACCAAGACAAUGAUCAAUAGCUGAUUUGAGAGGAUGAUCAGCCACAUUGGGACUGAGACACGGCCCAAACUCCUACGGGAGGCAGCAGUAGGGAAUCUUGCACAAUGGGGGAAACCCUGAUGCAGCGAUGCCGCGUGAGUGAAGAAGGCCUUUGGGUUGUAAAGCUCUUUCGUCGGGGAAGAAAAUGACUGUACCCGAAUAAGAAGGUCCGGCUAACUUCGUGCCAGCAGCCGCGGUAAUACGAAGGGACCUAGCGUAGUUCGGAAUUACUGGGCUUAAAGAGUUCGUAGGUGGUUAAAAAAGUUGGUGGUGAAAUCCCAGAGCUUAACUCUGGAACUGCCAUCAAAACUUUUUAGCUAGAGUAUGAUAGAGGAAAGCAGAAUUUCUAGUGUAGAGGUGAAAUUCGUAGAUAUUAGAAAGAAUACCAAUUGCGAAGGCAGCUUUCUGGAUCAUUACUGACACUGAGGAACGAAAGCAUGGGUAGCGAAGAGGAUUAGAUACCCU
rnacentral:rRNA from 1 species